GCGUAGUUCGGAAUUACUGGGCUUAAAGAGCUCGUAGGUGGUUAAAAAAGUUGAUGGUGAAAUCCCAAGGCUCAACCUUGGAACUGCCAUCAAAACUUUUUAGCUAGAGUGUGAUAGAGGUAAGUGGAAUUUCUAGUGUAGAGGUGAAAUUCGUAGAUAUUAGAAAGAACACCAAAUGCGAAGGCAACUUACUGGGUCACUACUGACACUGAGGAGCGAAAGCAUGGGUAGCGAAGAGGAUUAGAUACCCUCGUAGUCCAUGCCGUAAACGAUGUGUGCUAGACGUUGGAAAUAUAUUUUUCAGUGUCGCAGCGAAAGCAUUAAACACACCGCCUGGGGAGUACGACCGCAAGGUUAAAACUCAAAUGAAUUGACGGGGACCCGCACAAGCAGUGGAGCAUGUGGUUUAAUUCGAUGCUAAGCGAAGAACCUUACCAGGGCUUGACAUGUAAGCAUAAGCUUGCGUGAAAGCGUGGAGUGAAUUUGAGCUUGCUUAAAUUGGUUUACACAGGUGCUGCAUGGCUGUCGUCAGCUCGUGCCGUGAGGUGUCCGGUUAAGUCCGGUAACGAGCGCAACCCCUAUUAUCAGUUGCCAUCACUUCGGGUGGGCACUCUGGUGAAACUGCUGGUUUGAAACUAGAGGAAGGAGGGGACGACGUCAAGUCAUCAUGGCCCUUAUGUCCUGGGCUACACACAUGCUACAAUGGCAGAUACAACGGGUUGCGAACUCGCGAGGGGGAGCUAAUCUCAUCAAAGUCUGUCUCAGUUCGGAUUGCAGGCUGCAACUCGCCUGCAUGAAGUUGGAAUCGCUAGUAAUCGCGGAUCAGCUAUGCCGCGGUGAAUACGUUCCCGGGUCUUGCACACACCGCCCGUCACACCACGAAAGUCGGUCUUACCCGAAGCAGCUGGGCUAACCCUUUUGGGAGGCAGGUUUCUAAGGUAAGGUUGGUGAUUGGGGUGAAGUCAUAACAAGGUAGCCGUA
rnacentral:rRNA from 1 species